CGUCUCUCGCUGCUGUUUUCACUGCUUUCAGAAAUGGUUUAGCCUCUUCGAAAAAGUCCGUUAGCAUCUCAACCGUUUUCAGACGAGGAGGACAGAAAGAAACUCUACAGAACAGAUGGGAAGCUCCAAGAUUUCAACAUUUCUGAAGGAGCUGCUGACGGAGAAGUAGAAAAUACAGGUGAACUGAAGAAGCUC